GUCCAGAUGAUGAGUCCCAAAUAGGACGAAAUGUGCAUCCUAGAU
rnacentral:hammerhead_ribozyme from 1 species